CUUGUCUUAGCUAAGUGGUCACCGCAACAGAGUCGAAAUCUGUUUCUCUUGGAGUUGGUUCGAAACCUUCUGACAACA